rnacentral:rRNA from 1 species
GGGGAAUAUUGCGCAAUGGGGGAAGCCCUGACGCAGCAAUACCGCGUGAGUGAAGAAGGUUUUCGGAUCGUAAAGCUCUGUUAUUGGGGAAGAAAAUAAGACGGUACCCAAGAAGAAAGUCCCGGCUAACUACGUGCCAGCAGCCGCGGUAAUACGUAGGGCGCAAGCGUUGUCCGGAAUUAUUGGGCGUAAAGAGCUCGUAGGCGGUUUGUCGCGUCUGCUGUGAAAACCCGAGGCUCAACCUCGGGCCUGCAGUGGGUACGGGCAGACUAUAGUGCGGUAGGGGAGACCGGAAUUCCUGGUGUAGCGGUGGAAUGCGCAGAUAUCAGGAGGAACACCGAUGGCGAAGGCAGGUCUCUGGGCCGCAACUGACGCUGAGGAGCGAAAGCAUGGGUAGCGAACA